rnacentral:rRNA from 1 species
GAUGAACGCUGGCGGCGUGCCUAAUACAUGCAAGUCGAGCGAACAGACGAGGAGCUUGCUCCUCUGACGUUAGCGGCGGACGGGUGAGUAACACGUGGAUAACCUACCUAUAAGACUGGGAUAACUUCGGGAAACCGGAGCUAAUACCGGAUAAUAUAUUGAACCGCAUGGUUCAAUAGUGAAAGACGGUUUUGCUGUCACUUAUAGAUGGAUCCGCGCCGCAUUAGCUAGUUGGUAAGGUAACGGCUUACCAAGGCAACGAUGCGUAGCCGACCUGAGAGGGUGAUCGGCCACACUGGAACUGAGACACGUUCCAGACUCCUACGGGAGGCAGCAGUAGGGAAUCUUCCGCAAUGGGCGAAAGCCUGACGGAGCAACGCCGCGUGAGUGAUGAAGGUCUUCUGAUCGUAAAACUCUGUUAUUAGGGAAGAACAAAUGUGUAAGUAACUAUGCACGUCUUGACGGUACCUAAUCAGAAAGCCACGGCUAACUACGUG